UAGUCUGGGAAACUGCCUGAUGGAGGGGGAUAACUACUGGAAACGGUAGCUAAUACCGCAUAAUGUCGCAAGACCAAAGCAGGGGCUCUUCGGACCUUGCACUAUCGGAUGAACCCAUAUGGGAUUAGCUAGUAGGUGGGGUAAAGGCUCACCUAGGCGACGAUCUCUAGCUGGUCUGAGAGGAUGAUCAGCCACACUGGGACUGAGACACGGCCCAG
rnacentral:rRNA from 1 species